AUUGAACGCUGGCGGCAGGCCUAACACAUGCAAGUCGAGCGGGGGAAGGUAGCUUGCUACCGGACCUAGCGGCGGACGGGUGAGUAAUGCUUAGGAAUCUGCCUAUUAGUGGGGGACAACAUCUCGAAAGGGAUGCUAAUACCGCAUACGUCCUACGGGAGAAAGCAGGGGAUCUUCGGACCUUGCGCUAAUAGAUGAGCCUAAGUCGGAUUAGCUAGUUGGUGGGGUAAAGGCCUACCAAGGCGACGAUCUGUAGCGGGUCUGAGAGGAUGAUCCGCCACACUGGGACUGAGACACGGCCCAGACUCCUACGGGAGGCAGCAGUGGGGAAUAUUGGACAAUGGGGGGAACCCUGAUCCAGCCAUGCCGCGUGUGUGAGGAAGGCCUUAUGGUUGUAAAGCACUUUAAGCGAGGAGGAGGCUACUGAGACUAAUACUCUUGGAUAGUGGGCGUUACUCGCAGAAUAAGCACCGGCUAACUCUGUGCCAGCCGCCGCAGUAA
rnacentral:rRNA from 1 species